UCCAUAACCUCUGACUCCUCGGACAGCACUGCAUCAACAACUGUCAAUUCAUUGAUAGCUGAUAUAACCACAUGGGCAAGGGAUUAUUUUGGGAAACGUUUGUUCAGCACUGCAG